UACGGGGGGGGCAAGCGUUGUUCGGAAUUAUUGGGCGUAAAGAGCUCGUAGGCGGUUUGUCGCGUCUGCUGUGAAAUCCCGAGGCUCAACCUCGGGUCUGCAGUGGGUACGGGCAGACUGGAGUGCGGUAGGGGAGGAUGGAAUUCCUGGUGUAGCGGUGGAAUGCGCAGAUAUCAGGAGGAACACCGAUGGCGAAGGCAGUUCUCUGGGCCGUAACUGACGCUGAGGAGCGAAAGCGUGGGGAGCGAACAGG
rnacentral:rRNA from 1 species